rnacentral:rRNA from 1 species
CUACGGGCGGCAGCAGUUUCGAAUAAUUCACAAUGGGCGCAAGCCUGAUGAUGCGACGUUACGUGAAGGAAGAAAGCUUUAAGUUGUAAACUUCUGUCGUUAAGGAACAAAAAAUUAAGUAGUACUUUUUAUAUUGAGUUAACUUAAAAAGGAAGCAGUGGCUAAUUUCGUGCCAGCAGCCGCGGUAAUACGGGAACUGCAAGCGUUGCUCGGUUUUAUUGGGCGUAAAGAGUACGUAGGCUGUUAUAUAUGUUAAUUGUUAAAUUUUAAAGUUAAUCUUUAAAUUUGCUGUUAAAACUAUAUAACUAGAAUUUCAAAGAGGUAAGUGGAAUUUCAAGUGUAGCGGUGAAAUGCGUAGAUAUUUGAAGGAACACCAAUGGCGAAAGCAACUUACUGGGUGAUAAUUGACGCUAAAGUACGAAAGUAUAGGGAGCAAAAGGGAUUAGAUACCCCCGUAGUC